CCUCCUUUCUAAGGAGAAUCCCACUUUAUGUGGGAUAUGGUCGAACUCAUUUCCUUGUGAUCACGCAUACCUAUUUAUUUUUGGGCUUGUAGCUCAGGUGGUUAGAGCGCAUCCCUGAUAAGGAUGAGGUCCGUGGUUCGAGUCCACGCAGGCCCACUUGAUCUAUCGUCCCGAUAAUUUUGGGGCUGUAGCUCAGUUGGGAGAGCGCCUGAUUUGCAUUCAGGAGGUCGCAGGUUCGAUCCCUGUCAGCUCCACCAGAAAGAUUUUGUUUUUUGAAAAUUGGGAAUUGAUGUCGAUUCACAAAUGUGAAUCGUCUUCUGCAAACUGCGGAAGGCGGUAACUUCAUUUUGUGACACUGAAAUAAUAAAAAAGUGAAAAUAUUUCUUAUCGUUAGAUAAGAAAUAUUGAUCAUUCAAAUGAUCAAGAGCCUUUGGUAAAGCUACUAAGAGCGUAUGGAGGAUGCCUAGGCACAUGGAGGCGAUNAAGGACGUGGUAAGCUGCGAUAAG
rnacentral:misc_RNA from 1 species